UACGAAGGGGACUAGCGUUGUUCGGAAUCACUGGGCGUAAAGCGCACGUAGGCGGGUCUUUAAGUCAGGGGUGAAAUCCUGGAGCUCAACUCCAGAACUGCCUUUGAUACUGAAGAUCUUGAGUUCGGGAGAGGUGAGUGGAACUGCGAGUGUAGAGGUGAAAUUCGUAGAUAUUCGCAAGAACACCAGUGGCGAAGGCGGACUCACUGGCCCGAUACUGACGCUGAGGCACGAAAGCGUGGGGAGCAAACAGGG
rnacentral:rRNA from 1 species